rnacentral:rRNA from 1 species
UACGAAGGGGGCGAGCGUUGUUCGGAAUCACUGGGCGUAAAGGGCGCGUAGGCGGCCCUCUUUGUCGCGUGUGAAAGCCCCGGGCUCAACCUGGGAACGGCGCGCGAAACGGGGGGGCUGGAGUUCGGGAGAGGAGAGUGGAAUUCCCAGUGUAGAGGUGAAAUUCGUAGAUAUCGGGAGGAACACCUAUGGCGAAGGCAGCUCGCUGGGACGUUACUGACGCUGAGACGCGAAAGCGUGGGGAGCAAACAGG